GCUGGGUGCAGUGGUGCAUGCCUGUAGUCCUAGCUACUCCGGAGGCUGAGGCAGGAGGAUCGCUUGAGUCCAGGAGUUCUGGGCUGCAGUGGGCUAUGCUGAUCAGGUGUCUGCACACUGGUGACCUCCCAGGAGAAUGGGACCACCAGGUUGCCUAAGGAGGGGUGAACUGGCCCAGGUUGGAAACAGAGAAGGUCAAAACUCCCGUGCUGAUCAGAAAGUCUUCAAUGAAAGUGACUGAAGUUUUACUUCACCCAAGUCAGGCCACAAUAUCCUCU
rnacentral:SRP_RNA from 1 species